rnacentral:rRNA from 1 species
AUUGAACGCUGGCGGCAUGCCUUACACAUGCAAGUCGAACGGCAGCACGGGUGCUUGCACCUGGUGGCGAGUGGCGAACGGGUGAGUAAUACAUCGGAACGUACCUUAUCGUGGGGGAUAACGCAGCGAAAGCUGUACUAAUACCGCAUACGCCCUGAGGGGGAAAGCGGGGGAUCGCAAGACCUCGCGCGAUUAGAGCGGCCGAUGCCUGAUUAGCUUGUUGGUGGGGUAAAAGCCCACCAAGGCGACGAUCAGUAGCUGGUCUGAGAGGACGAUCAGCCACACUGGGACGGGGACACGGCCCAGACUCCUACGGGAGGCAGCAGUGGGGAAUUUUGGACAAUGGGGGCAACCCUGAUCCAGCAAUGCCGCGUGAGUGAAGAAGGCCUUCGGGUUGUAAAGCUCUUUUGUCAGGGAAGAAACACCGGCUCUAACACAGUCCGGGAAUGACGGUACCUGAAGAAUAAGCACCGGCUAACUACGUGCCAGCAGCCGCCGUAA